GGGUAAGUCUUAUACGACCAGCUCCUGUCGAACUCCCCCAGAUUAGGAAUAAAGCAAGGGUAGAUGGUUGUAGCGGUGCGAUAUGAGUAGCUUACCCUUU
rnacentral:SRP_RNA from 1 species